rnacentral:rRNA from 1 species
UACAGAGGGUGCGAGCGUUAAUCGGAAUUACUGGGCGUAAAGCGCGCGUAGGCGGCUUUGCAAGUCGGGUGUGAAAUCCCCAGGCUUAACCUGGGAACUGCAUUCGAGACUGCAUUGCUAGAGUAUGGGAGAGGGAAGUGGAAUUCCGGUGUAGCGGUGAAAUGCGUAGAUAUCUGGAGGAACACCGGUGGCGAAGGCGGCAUUCUGGACCAAUACUGACGCUGAGGAGCGAAAGCCAGGGGAGCAAACGGG